UGGGGAAUCUUGGACAAUGGGGGAAACCCUGAUCCAGCGACGCCGCGUGCGGGACGAAGCCCUUCGGGGUGUAAACCGCUGUGCGCGCGGGGAAGCAACAAGGUAGGCCAGGGGACAUGCCCUGACCGGAGG
rnacentral:rRNA from 1 species